UACGUAGGGGGCAAGCGUUGUCCGGAAUCAUUGGGCGUAAAGAGCGCGUAGGCGGCCCAGUAAGUCCGCUCUGAAAGUCAGGGGCUCAACCCCUGAAUGCGGGUGGAUACUGCUGGGCUAGAGUCCGGAAGAGGCGAGUGGAAUUCCUGGUGUAGCGGUGAAAUGCGCAGAUAUCAGGAGGAACACCGAUGGCGAAGGCAGCUCGCUGGGACGGUACUGACGCUGAGGCGCGAAAGCUAGGGGAGCAAACGGG
rnacentral:rRNA from 1 species